UACAUUUAUAGUUUUCUCAUAAUAUUAGAUCACUCCUGAAAUAUGAUAUUUUACUAAAGUAAAUCUGGGUUUUUGUGCUUCGGACUUCUUCGGGCUUUUCCGGAAGUAAGUGGCCUACGUGCAGGAUUGGCACGUCCUGUUCCUUUUCCUUCGGACCAUGCCGUUGUAUGAUGUGAGCCAAAUUCACAUCAAAAACCAUCUUUUGCGAGCUAAAAUCUGAAGGCCCAUAUCUGAACAGCCCACCAACUGAAGUGAAGUGCUGUAUAGCUGCUUUUGGAGUCAUUUAAGGAAAGAUAUGAAGACGUCGGGGGUUUUUAUAUUCCAUUGAAAUAUUGUAUCUCAACUGGAUCAUCAAUAAAUCAACCAAUCAACUAAUGACAGAAACCGA
rnacentral:lncRNA from 1 species